rnacentral:misc_RNA from 1 species
GAUGAAGAACGUAGCGAAAUGCGAUAAGUAAUGUGAAUUGCAGAGUUCAGUGAAUCAUCGAAUCUUUGAACGCACAUUGCGCCCGUCAGUAUUCUGACGGGCAUGCCUGUCCGAGCGUCAUUGCUGCCCUCAAGCACGGCUUGUGUGUUGGGCCUCCGCCCCCCGGCUCCCGGGGGGCGGGCCCGAAAGGCAGCGGCGGCACCGCGUCCGGUCCUCGAGCGUAUGGGGCUUCGUCACCCGCUCCGUAGGCCCGGCCGGCGCCCGCCGGCGACCCCCCUCAAUCUUUCCAGGUUGACCUCGGAUCAGGUAGGGAUACCCGCUGAACUUAAGCAUAUCAAUAAGCGGAGGA